UACGUAGGGUCCGAGCGUUGUCCGGAAUUAUUGGGCGUAAAGGGCUCGUAGGCGGUUUGUCGCGUCGGGGAGUGAAAACACGGGGCUUAACCCCGUGCCUGCUUCCGAUACGGGCAGACUAGAGGUAUGCAGGGGAGAACGGAAUUCCUGGUGUAGCGGUGAAAUGCGCAGAUAUCAGGAGGAACACCGGUGGCGAAGGCGGCAUCCUGGACCGACACUGACGCUGAGGAGCGAAAGCCAGGGGAGCAAACGGG
rnacentral:rRNA from 1 species